UACGGGGGGAGCAAGCGUUGUUCGGAUUUACUGGGCGUAAAGGGCGCGUAGGCGGCCACCGCAAGUCGAUUGUGAAAUCUCCGGGCUUAACCCGGAAAGGUCAACCGAUACUGCGGGGCUAGAGUGCAGAAGGGGCAACUGGAAUUCUCGGUGUAGCGGUGAAAUGCGUAGAUAUCGAGAGGAACACCUGCGGCGAAGGCGGGUUGCUGGGCUGACACUGACGCUGAAGCGCGAAAGCCAGGGGAGCGAACGGG
rnacentral:rRNA from 1 species